rnacentral:ncRNA from 1 species
CCAAAGUUUCCCUCAGGAUAGCUGGUGCUCGUAUAUCUCCCCAGUUUUAUCUGGUAAAGCAAAUGAUUAGAGGUUUUGGGGCUGAAACAAUCUCAACCUAUUCUCAAACUUUAAAUGGGUAAGAAGCCCGGCUCGCUGGUGUGUAGCUGGGCGCGGAAUGCAAGACCCUAGUGGGCCACUUUUGGUAAGCAGAACUGGCGCUAUGGGAUGAACCGAAAUGCCAGGUUAAGUCUCCCAAUUCUGCACUGGAGAAGUUGUCCAAAUUUGUAUUUAUAACUAAGUAGUACUGUAUAAUGUCUGCCAGUUAGAAGCAGG